ensembl:snoRNA
CUGUCCCUUUAAUGUCACUGUAGUACUUUAAGGGGUUAACUUUAACAGCAGGAUGAAAGAACUCUCCAUCAACCAAGGGAGGAGCCUGAACGAGGCUCUUUGGAUCCUAUUUGGAAUCACAGAU